UGGCUUUUUAAAUUGAUCUUCAAAGGUAAUUUUUCACCGAGUAGGAAUAUCAUAAACAGAUCGAAGAUGAUACAAAGGUGUCUUUACAAUGGCGUCUUUACAAAUGAGUCCGGUUAUCGUAACGAGAAUUACCCUAAACUCCACACAAAAAAAUUGAUGUAAGUAUAGAAGGCAUACUAAAGAUUGCAUGAAAAAUGUCAUUAGUACUAUUUGUACUGCUAAACAACACUCUCGUGUGCAACGAAUGCUUUUUCAUAUGAUUGACUAGUCAAAUGCUGUUCUAGAUAGCUAUAAGGAAGGAAUUUCGAUGCUAUACAUGAGAUUUAAAUUAACAUUUUGUCCUGAGAAACACUGUAAAGCGCUUAAACCACGAUACGUCAUCAAAUAUGGCAUCGAAGAAGUGAUUUUUCUAGACCAUUGAUACAAAUGAGUGAAAGAAGCACAGCUUGAAAACACAAACCAAAGCAACAAAUUAUCGAGCACUACAUAACCAAUAGAACUAUCUGAUUAUCUCAUAAUAAGGAAAAUAUAGUGCUGGAUCAUAAACAUUUCAAGAAGGUGAGCCUCCUUUUGAGGCUUUAUAUCCAGACUACCAUCUUGUUGUUUAUGACGUCAAUUGAUUGUUAUGAAGAGCCUCAGUUUCAUCUCGCCGUAGAGUAUCAAGUUGAUUGUGACGUCACAUUGAUUAACGCCAAUAAACGGAGCAACAAUUAACUGAGCAUUCGUCAGUUCAGUGGCUACGGUAACUGCAUUGACUCUUUUUAAAGUUGAGUUGAAAAUCUCAAACUUUUAGUCGUCGUUCAGAGUGAGAUAUAUUUUUCGAGAGAAGAAACAAACACAGCAUGGGUUGCUGUCUUUCGAAGUUCCAGAGGCCUAAUGAAGCCUCACCAACCAAACGAAUGUCGUCCACGCUUAACAGAAUGUCCAAAAUAUUUCGAAGAAGCAAAGCCAUUCGAAAAGAAGGGUCUCCAUCGAUCGACGAUCAGAUAACUCUUCCAAAAGAAAACACAUCUAGGGUGAGUCAUUCUGUUCUGCAUAAAGUAAUCUGCAUUUGUUUGCUGUUCUCAACUCGGUUCCAAACAAUUUUACAAAAUCGACCAUAUUGAUUGAACAUGAGAUAUUGUUGUGAAAUGGCCGAAACAAGCUAAGUCAGUUCUCCUUAUAGUCAGAGAACAAGACUUUUAAUGAUUUGUGGGGUAAAUGAUUUAUCACAAAAACGUAGAAUUCAAUGGCCAAUGUA